rnacentral:rRNA from 1 species
UCAGCUCGUGUCGUGAGAUGUUGGGUUAAGUCCCGCAACGAGCGCAACCCUCGACCUUAGUUGCCAGCAUUCAGUUGGGCACUCUAAGGUGACUGCCGGCUAAAAGUCGGAGGAAGGUGGGGAUGACGUCAAAUCAUCAUGCCCCUUAUGACCUGGGCUACACACGUGCUACAAUGGGCGGUACAAAGGGUCGCGAACCCGCGAGGGGGAGCCAAUCCCAAAAGCCGCUCUCAGUUCGGAUUGCAGGCUGCAACUCGCCUGCAUGAAGCCGGAAUCGCUAGUAAUCGCGGAUCAGCAUGCCGCGGUGAAUACGUUCCCGGGCCUU